rnacentral:piRNA from 1 species
UUUCUUCUGUUGGAAGCUUAUAUGUUGCCC